CCCUUAGAUGUUCUGGGCAGCACGCGCGCUACAAUGGUCUUCGCAAACGGAUUCAUUCUCGAAGGAGAAUGCCAAUCUUGGAAUCUAUGCCUUGGUCGGGACAGUUGCUUGCAAUUUUUCGACUCGAACCAGGAAUUCCUUGUAAUCGUGAUUCAUCACAUCACGAUGAAUACGUCCCUGCCCUUUGUACACACCGCCCGUCGCUCCUACCGAUCGAAGAGUUAGGUGAAUUGUUUUGAUCGAUAAGAUUUGACUAUGGUCAACUCUCGUUGUGAAAUUCUGUGAAUCUGACUGUUUAGAGGAAGGAAAAGUCGUAACA
rnacentral:rRNA from 1 species